UUUAGUCAAAAACCCCAAUUUGAUUUCACUUCGCGAUUCUCAUCAUCUCUCGAUGCUCCUCAUCUCUCGAUGCUCUCUCAAUCUCUCGACAGGUUUCUCAUCUCAAUCUCCAUCUGAAUAUCUGCGUCUGCCCAAUUGAAUCUCCAUCUGAAUCUAUGCAUCUGCUCCUCAUAUGAAUCUCUCAAUUGCUUUUUGGGUCUGCCGCAAUCUGAAUCAAUUCACUACUUCUCUGGUCGAUUGGGACAUAUCUCAGAGAUUAUUUAUUGGGUUCUUUGGUCUGCUGCAAACUAGGGUUCUUCACUAAUUUCCUGCACUUGUAGGAAUGUAAUUUCAGGAAUAAAUGCAAGAUUCAACAUGGGAUGUGGAUACUCAGAGGCAUGCCGAUUUGGUUCCCCUUGUAGAAGUCUUUGUUCCUCAAAACAACCACCUUGUGAUUCAAUGAAGAAAAAGCCGUAGCCUGGAAUAAAGGGGGGUGACUAGUUUUGACUCUUUUUAUUUUACCAUUCAUGUUUCAAAUUCAGUAUUUGCAUAAUAAAAAGUAAUAAAUAUAAUCUUAAGACAAUCAUUGUCCUUCAAAUUUUAGUUAACGUUUUUUGCAUUGGUAGUUUCUGGUAGAUACUUUGCUAUGUAGUUUGGUGUAGCAUAUGUUUAGUUUAGAAAGAAGUGUCUUAUUAUUCAUGUGCCAGAAAGUUUCUUUAGGUCGACACCGUAUCUUUUGAAUAGCACAAUAUGUUCAUAAUGUAAGAGUUAUGGAAGACAAAAAUUACUUCCCAAACUUAGCAGAACUACGUGUCUGAAAUAGUUAAUUGCUGCAAUUUCUAAAGGAGGUUGUAAAUCUUAAAGGGCUAGUAAUUUUUAUAUAUUCAAGAUUUUUAAAAGUUUUCAUCAUAUUUUAAAACUUUUAAAAAUAUAUUUUUGAAGUCAAGCGUCUUUAUGGAAUCAACCUUUUCACUCCCAGCAAAACAUAUAAAGUCUGCAUACAUCUCAACUCACCGGCCUACUGCAUACAAAUGGUUUUUGACCACUCAGAAAUUCUCAUUUGCAUCCUUGAUUUAAUAAGAGUGUGCAGGAUCAAGUUUCAAAUUCUUGUCCUGGCUUAUUAGGCACAAAUCCACUUGAUUAUUUUGUUGAUAAGGAGCCGGAGGAUAUUUUCAAAAUAAAAUAUUAUGCUGCACUCCAUUUCCCCUUUAAGGAUGAAACCAAUUAAGAUGUUGACAAACAUCUUUUCUCAAUUUAAGCCUAAUUUUUAUCUGUUGACAAAGAACAAGUGAAUUCAAUUUUUAUGUAGAUUAUGUAGGUGAGUGGUUAUGCUAUACUUCUGAUUUCUGUAACUUUUUAUCCUCUAACUUGAGCUUCAUUUCAUUACCUUGCAGCAACACUAGGAGAAACAUUAGUAAGACACCGGAAAAAGCACAGAAUAUAUAUUGGAUGCAUGAAGUCUGGCCCAGUCCUUGCCCAAAAUUUUAAAGGUCUCGCAAGGACUACUGCAGUAGAAUCUGAAAGCCUGAAGUUAGUUGCAGAGGGUUGUGAUCCAAUGGCAUUGCAGGAAAAAUUUGUAAAGGGAGAAAUUGAAGAUAUAUUAGGGGAAGUUUCUUGGACUCGGAGUCCAAAUACCAUACAGUGAGUUCUUUUUUACUUAAGAUUGCAAUUAAAUCCCAAAUGACUUGUUUGACCACUUCACUGGUAGGACACUGGCAUGGACAACUAUAUCAAAUUAAGGAGUGGAGCUCACUGCAGCUAGAGCAGCGCAGGAGUCUAUUUUAAGUGAUUCUCAUCUAUCAGAAGACUUCAAUAAGACUGAUCAGCCACUUGGUAGAAGAAGAUUUCAAUAAGACUGAUCAACCACUUGGUUGUGAUUGGAAGCUAUAUUCCUGGCUAUCAGCAGGAGCCAAAGCCUAAAAAGCAGAGAUCCGAGUUUGCACCAACUAUCUCUCCAGUCCCUGCUCCUAAUCAUGCUUAUGCAGGAAGUACUGAUUCAAUAUAUAAUAUUGCGAUGCAAAGCAUUACUCCUCCUUCAUAUCAUGGAAUCAACGGGAAUGCAGCUAAUUCUGUUAGUGGCCCAAGUAUUCUUGCUGCGGAAAGUAAUAUUUCUAGUAUCAGGUAUCAAGUUGGGGGUAGCAAUCUUUGUUCCAUUACAAUAUACAGUUACUAUUUAAGCGUUAAGUUCCAGGGUGAAAAGUGUAAAGGGUGCAAAUAAACAACAAUUCCCGUACGAGGUGCUUAUCUUAUUGUUUUAUACUUCCAUCUAUAUUUAAGAUUGAUUAUCACUACAAGUGGUGUUAGUGCUGACUUGGGUCUUUUUAGUUUGUUUUCCAGACGAAGUAAAUCAGUCCAUUGUAAUAAGUGAAAUGAAUACGAUAUUGUUAAUGUUGUAAGAUAGCAAUGCAAUGUUUGGCUGCACAUGGAGGCGGAAGUGGCAUAGAAUACGAAAUAUUAAAAACUAAUCCUAUUCUGGAGGCCUUUGGUGAUGCAAAGACAUCAAGAAAUAACAACUCUAGUCGAUUUGUAAGUCAUAAUUUUUUACAUGGACAUUUAAACUUAAUCCAUGAAGUGAUGUUGGCAAUGUAGUGGAAUUGGUCUUUCCUGGGCCUACAACUUGCAUAUGAUUUAGUCUAUAUAUUAAUCUUAUGACUGGGAUAACUUAUUAAAAUUAACUUUGGUGAAACUGGAAGGAGAUCAGGUGCCAACAUUCAGACUUGUAAGGCUCUAUUUGUUUUGGGUGCCACUGGGUCCUUUUUAUUUAUAUUAAUUUUCAAUACAUGUAUUACAUUUGAAAUGUAUCUAGGCUGAUUUUUUGUCUUUUUGUGCUCUCUUGCUAUCAUUCUGGAUCGUGAUUCUUGGUUCACACAGUUUUACUUGAGAAGGUAAAUCUUUGAUACAUGGAUCAUGCAUUUUACCAAGCCUUCUUCUUAACACAGCACACUAACUUUAUUUGAAUAGUCUCGGGUGGUUCAAUGUGCUGAGGGAGAGAGGUCGUAUCAUUUUUUCUAUCAGCUUUGUGCAGGAGCACCACCUUCUCUUAGAGGAUAGGCUCAAUGAUAUCUAUACUAUGGAAGAUGCACUUGCUAAGGACGAGAGUGAAGACUUUGAGGCAGCUGGCUUAUUACUGCACUGAUUUCAUAAUUUUUAGUGUUGACAUGUAAUUUCACAAGAAGAAUUAUGGGUUGUAAUACAUUUUAAUCUUAAUGUACAUUGAUUAAUUUCCACA